AGAACGAACGCUGGCGGCAUGCCUAAUACAUGCAAGUCGAACGAACACUUCGGUGUUAGUGGCGCACGGGUGCGUAACGCGUGGGAAUCUGCCCUUGGGUUCGGAAUAACAGUUGGAAACGACUGCUAAUACCGGAUGAUGACGAAAGUCCAAAGAUUUAUCGCCCAGGGAUGAGCCCGCGUAGGAUUAGCUAGUUGGUGAGGUAAAGGCUCACCAAGGCGACGAUCCUUAGCUGGUCUGAGAGGAUGAUCAGCCACACUGGGACUGAGACACGGCCCAGACUCCUACGGGAGGCAGCAGUAGGGAAUAGUGGACAAGUGGGCGCAAGCCUGAUCCAGCAAUGCCGCGUGAGUGAUGAAGGCCUUAGGGUGUAAAGCUCUUUAUCCGAGAUGAUAAUGACAGUAUCGGAAG
rnacentral:rRNA from 1 species